rnacentral:sRNA from 1 species
UCUCCCCAUGUAAGCUACAGCUUUCCUUCAACGACAGAACACAGAUACAAGAAGCAGAGAGGAUCUUACAGUAUGAAGUCACUUAUCCCAUGCCUAAGUCUGUGUCUAUAACUUUGGCUGUUUACGUAUGCAAUAACGAUCAGCCUUCCCAGAUGUAUAAAUAUAAUGUCGCUGUUGACUUCACUAAAGACAAAGCUGGAAGUAUCGUUGUUGUCGUUAUUUGUUGUAUACUAGGGCCUAUCAUUUAUCCAAUGUCUCUAGUAGUCAUUUAUUUAAUACGUAAUGCCCUAUUUUAAGCUUCUAAUAUACAACUUCUAGCGGGGAGAUUUAUUAUUUAUUAAUUUCAUGGUAGAACUGUAAGUAUGAUUGUACGUGUGGAUGACUUUACAUUUUAAAAGUUUUAAAUUAAAUUCCUUUAACUAUGUCAUUGUUUAGAACCUUAAAGUUUAUAUGCUUUUUAAUUAUUUUAUUUAUUGUAUAUUGGAUUGUAUAUUUUCCCAAAGAUAUAUACAGUGGUGUGUUUGCUGUAUCUUGAAAAGCGCAUAUCUAGUUAAUAAUUUCAAUUUCAAUCAAUUGAGUAUACUGCGAAAUAUUUGCAAUUAAACAAUUUUUGCUUUGUUUUUUUUUUCACGUGUUUUACAGUUCCAUUUUGCUAUGUAUUUUCUUUUCUUGAAAUUAACAUUUUGUAAAAUUCUUUGUUGAAGAUGAAAGCUCAAUACAAACACAUGUAAGAUAAUUUGUAAAAAAUGUAAUUAUUUGCAAUCUAUAUGGCAGAUGAUGUAAAGUUCAACUGUUUCUGUUCACGCAACUCAACUGGCAUUAGGGAAAGUAGACGCGACUGGUAACGUGACAACCUCGUUUAGAGUCGGUCCAAGAAAGAUAUGACUUUUUUGGUUUCACGACCCAUGUUUUGUAAGUUAACGGAAGUUAAAUGAACUUAAAUCAUCACCUUUACCUUCACCUAUCCUUUACUCUGCUGGACAGUUUAGGCACCACAGAAGAUCUGUCAACUGUUUUUCUCCAUUCCUCUUUCUCUUUUGCCUUGGAUAGAAUCUCUUUCAGCGGCAAGCCGGUCCAUUCUUUUAUGCU